GGCAAAAGGGUGGAUUUUUGUCUUCUCCCCAAAAGAGAAGUAUACUGUACUUUUAUUUAUUCUCUUUUCAAAUAUUAGAGAUUUGUAAAUUUUUGUUUCAAUGAGAUGAUAAAAAUAUUUGUUUCUGUUUUUUAGAUCCUUACAUCACCUGAUGACUGUAACACACAGAAUUUUGCUCUUCAGGUGAAGAAAGUGUACCCUCUGGGCUUCUACAUCUUGCUUACAGUAUCCCCAGUGUUGGCGAUGAUGAACGUAUUCUGGUUUUGGAAAAUUGCGAAAGGCUUGGUAAAAACCUUGAACAAGGCAAGACACAUUGAGCAGUAGAGUUGUGCUGCUGUAGUAGAAUCACUGCUUUUGAAUUUUACAUCGAGGUACAUUCUCGUGUUCCGCCACACUCCAUAUCAAAGCCAAACUCAAGGAAGCUCUAAUUCAACAGAACCAGUUCAGAACAAGUCCAGGAAAUUGACACUUUCUAUCUCAGUCAGUUGUCAGACUCCGGUUUUCAUAGAGGUGGUUGUCACUGACUCACUGUAGCUGCCGCUAGAAAUUUGGCAAAAAUUGGAUGUUAAAAAAGGAGUAAUUGUUCCACGAGAGGGUUUGUAGGUAAUUAAAUAUA